AUCUAACUAAUGAGUCUCAAAUAGAACGAAACACACUUCCUGGAU
rnacentral:hammerhead_ribozyme from 1 species